AUACAAAAUUCACAGCUCACAUAACACAAACAUAUUAAUUUAUCAUAACUGAGUAUCACUCAAUCAGCCCCUAUAAAAUGCACCCCCUUCAAAUCUUCUACACAUCAAACACAUUAUUUCACUUAAUUAUCAUAACCCUUCACUUGCAUUUAAUCCUCUGAAAGCAACAAAGCAAUUUCACUUUAGACCAUUCAACAACGACUUGCAGUUUUCAACCGAAAAAUGAAGCAAGCUUUAAUCUCUCCGAACUCAUACUUUUUUCACCUUGCAUUCAAACACAACACCAGCACAAACACCUGCAUCAGCCCCAAAAAAAUCGAUUAGAAGGUUUGUAAGCAUCUGGAAGAGAAAUACUACUUAAGAUAGCCACAAAAUUAAAGAUAAAUACCUAAAAGCUUUCCUCUCCACAAUUUGUAAUAGUUUCUCUUCCGUGGUCCAAUCAAGAUUGUCACUCUCAAUAUUGUCACUCUCACACCACAAUCCGCUACCCCAUGCAAUAACUGACGCACAUAAGAGGAUCAUAAGCAAAUGUAGCAGUAUGAAAAAUACCAAGUAAUUAAGAAAAUCAAGAGAAAAAAAAAUUAGAGCCACAUUGCUAGCAGAAUUUGAUAGCUUAAGUAAUAGAAGAGAACAUAUCUCCUAGUAAGUCCCCUCAUUAGUAUUCCCACAUGAGCACCCAUAGUUCACAUAAAAUAGCUUUAACAGUUUCUGACAAACUGUGAUGAAAUAUAUGUUUAUCAAGUCCAAAAUAUAGGAUUCUUUAUCACUUAUCCCAUUAGCCAUUAGAAAUAAUAUACCAUACAAUGAAGGUUUUAAGACAGUCAAACAGAGAUUUGAAAUAGUAAAAUAUAUAACUCAAUUGUGCCAUUAGUCUAAAAUCUACAAAGCCAAAUAUGCAAGUUAUAUAAAUAUCAUAUUAAGCAAAUUGGGAGAUAAGGAAACCAAAACUUUCAAACUAUACAUAUUAUUUUUUAUGUCAGUUUUUCGAACUCCGAAUGGAAGAAAUUAGAUUUUACAGUUUACACUUCAGAAGUGUAAUACAAAAACUAAUAACAUAAUUGUUAAAAGAAAAACUAUUUAGGAGAUUCAUAAUUUUUCUUUAAUGCACUGUUAUUGAUUACCCAAAUAAAAGCUAAAAUCAGAAGCAUCUGGAGUGAAGGUCUCUAAUUCAAAAUGGGUACGUAACCUGACUUGAAGCACAUGCCAAGGAUUUCUUUUAUUUAAAUCCUAUUGGAACUUGACAAAAGUACCAUGUAGUGUUUAAAACUUUCUGUAAACUUAAAGCUUAAGAAAUUACAUGAUUUUGUUGAAGAAAUAGAAUAAGUGGAAAAUAUGUUAGAGGACUCACCCUCCAAGUUAUGUGCCUGACAAAUAUUUCAGGAGGCGGCGCAAACAUUAAGCAGUGGUUGAAACUUGCAAGUUUUCUACAUAGAUGCAGGUUGAACAAUGGAAAAUUAUAAAUCGGAGUUAAAUCAGGAUGGCUAAAAGAGCAUAAAAUUUGAAAAGCAAGAAGCAGCUAACACUGAAAUUGUUAAAUGACAUAAAAAUGAAAAGCCAAAUACUAAAUGAGGCAGGUAUAAAAUCAAAGAGUGAGUGAUGUGAAUUUCUAAAAAGACAAAUUAUACCUGCAACAAUAAUGAAGCUCAGAUAAUUAUGAAACAUUGAUAAUCAGAAUUAAGAGCAUGAAGGACUGCUUGUUUUGGCAAAUAAAUAAGAAAAAAAGAGAAAAGAUUUGAGUAUUGAAACAAAAUAGCACCAACCAAUAAAUUGAAGAAAUACCAAAAAAUCACCUCAAAACCCCAGUGGAGGAUCUACUUAAGCAUUGCCAAUUGAAACAAAUGACAAUGCGACUGUUCAAAAUCUGAAGCAUGCGACAAAGUUCAAACCCCCUUCUCGUUCAACUCUUUUGCUGCUGAAAAGACCCAUUGAACAAUGUCAUCCAAUUUUUCUUCUGCAAUAUGGAUUACAUUCUAAACCUGCAAACCAUUCAAAUCAAAGAGGAUUAGAAGAAAACAAAUAUAUUUUCUACACAUUAUUUACUCCAAAAGAACAUCUAUAACUUCAGUGUCCAGCUUACGAAACAGAAAAAAGUAUGAAUCUUGCACUGUAAGAGGAACACCAGCUUCUAGUCUAUCAUGCUAAAACAUUUGUAAACAACCCUCUAAGGGGGAGCAUAAAACAUGAAUUCCUAAAUGAAAACUAUGAGCUAACUUAAUUGGCUAUAGGCAAUCAGCUACAUGAUUAGCCACCCUUAAAACAUGUAACCAUAUCUCCCAAUUUUUCCUUUUCUAGUAUUGGAUUUCAAUCAACUCAUUCCCAUUCAUAAGCACAUGUAGUUCUGCAAUAUGAGUCAUAUCAAUGACUUUUAAGGAUUAGCUUUCUAUGAUAACUCUGCGACAGCCUUCAUUCCAAGCCAUAGCAAGAGCUAUUUUGAUCGCCCAAAAUUCAGCCAUAGUGACAUAAGGAGCCUACACCAAAAGCCACUGCACAGCCUCAUCUUUCAAACAGGUUGAAUCACUUGCCAGUCUCUAAACAAAUACAGCUCAGAUUCGUGCAGCUUCCCUUUGUGAUCAUUUCCACUUCCAAAUUCUCCUCCAAGACC
rnacentral:lncRNA from 1 species